rnacentral:rRNA from 1 species
UACGGAGGAUGCAAGCGGUAUCCGGCAUGAUUGGGCGUAAAGCGUCCGCAGGUGGUUGUGUGUGUCUAUUGUCAAAGCAUCAUGCUUAACAUGAUAAAGGCAGUAGAAACUACACGACUAGAGUGCGUUCGGGGCAGAGGGAAUUCCUGGUGUAGCGGUGAAAUGCGUAGAGAUCAGGAAGAACACCGGUGGCGAAAGCGCUCUGCUGGGCCGCAACUGACACUGAGGGACGAAAGCUAGGGGAGCGAAUGGG